GUCGCUGCGCUCUGGCUGGCACAGACCGGGCGGGCCUGCCCGGGUUCCGGAAAGACGACUUCGGGGGGACACCUCACAAAGGGAUGGUGGUUCAGAACCCCAGUCCGACGCGCUCCUGGGGCUCAGUCUCUUGGACGAUGACGAGGACAUGGUUCUGAAAAAGUGCCAGGGUGCGCUCAGGAGAAGAGCACAGCACCCAGAGCGGCCCCCCAGGUAGCGGAGCCGGGUCUAGGGAAGCCCUCUUCCAAGAAGUCCUGUGCCCUGAAGCUGACUGGGCGCGCUAGCUGAUGAAACUGGGUGCCCCACCAAGGCGCCCUAGUCCCGAGGGCGGCGCCAGGGCGGGGCCGGAGUCCUCCUGGCAGGUGCCGGGGGCGGUGCCCAGCCCUGCCCCCGGGGGCAGUUCCUGGAGGCCAGAGGCGGGUCAGAGAAGCGGCGGGUGCGGGCGACGCCUUGGAACCUACGAGCGGCGACCGCGACCACAGGUGCCUCACAGGGCUGUGUCCUAACUCUGGGCAUCAAAACCCCGACUGGGAACUGACGCUUCCGAGCUGCUUCCAACCCUGGACACCGAGGUCCCCCAGCUGGAGAGCGAAACCCUAGGGUCGUCUGAAGAGGGGGGCCACGAGCCCCCAGGGCCAGACAGCGAAGCCCCAGAACCUGUUGCGGAGCUGAACACUGAAGUCCCAGGCCGGGCGGCGAGGUCCCCAAGCCCUCCGCAAAGGACGUAGAGACCCUCGAGCAAGAAAGCGAAAUCCUCGAGCCAUCAGUGAAGCAGGACUCCGGGCGCCCUGGGUUGUCCACAGCGGCAGGCUUUGAGAGUCCUGAGCCAGGCAGAGACGACCCUGGGCCGUCCGAAGCGCAAGGCGCGGGGAUCUAGGGGCAGCGUCCCAGUCCGGGCCUGAUACUUCCUCCUCCAGGUCAGGCUCGGAAGUCCCCCACCUGCGUUUUCCGCCGUGCCCCGAAGCUCCCCAACGUCCCCCGGAGGAGCUGUUCAUGGAGACGCCCAUAGAGCGCGAAAUCCGCCGCAGCUGCGAACGCGAGGAGAGCCUGCGCCGGAGCCGGGGCCUGAGCUCUGGCCGCGCGGGCCGCGAACUCGUGGAGCUGCGCGUGCGGCCAGUGCUCAACCUGCCGGGUCCUGGCCCCGCGCUCCCGCGCGCCCUGGAGCGCGCGCGGGCGGGAGCGCAGAUGCAGCGGGACAUCGAGCGGGAGGCCCACCGGCAGGCGGCGCUGGCGCGCCCCGCGGCCGCGGAGCCGCGCGCCCAGUCGCCGCCGCAGCCGCUGGGCGAACUCAAGCGCUUCUUCGAGGCUGCGGCGGGGAGUGGCUCCUCGGCGGGGGCGGGGGGCGGCGCGGGACCUAAGGGGCUGCCAGAGCCCGGGGGCCGGGCGCGCUCGGCCGUGCAGGGCCGGUGCCCGGUGCUGGCCCGCGCCCCGCCGCCUUUCGCUCCGUCACUGCUGGAGCAGGAGGUGCGCGCGGUGCGCGAGCGCGAGCAGGAGCUGCAGCGCCAGCGGCGCAGUGUCUACGGCACCGCGGAGUUCAAGGAGCCUACGCCGAGUCUCACCGGGGUGCGGCCGGCCUUUUUCAUCCUGGCUGCCUCCAGCUGGUGAGAUGAGCGCCCCUUCCCCCCCUAGCGAGCAGGGGCGAUGGAAAGUUGGCGGUGAUCUGGCCCCCCCGCAGAAAGGCCUCGGAGAACGGCCUGCAGCAGGAGGAGCGCAAACCUUGAGGUUUGAGCAGGCUGGGACCCCCGGCCGGAAGUAACGUACGCGUCAGAGGACCAGGGCGGGGAGCGUCUAGCAGAAGGCCUGGAAGGGUCGGCCCUCUGCAUUGGGGAAGAUGAAAUCGACCAGACCAUCGUUGAACUUGACUUUGUGAAAUUGACCAGCCCCGUCUAUAAAACUUAGAGUCCCCCAUUGGGAAACUGUCCACCACCCACAACUCCACCAGACAAACUGUGCAGCCCUUCUCCGCCUAAUUGUACACUGAACUACCCACUCCUUUGACUGUAAGAGGGCCGGGGUUACGGCCGCGGCUGCCCCACUUCCCGCACCGCCAAUAAAGCCUCUUCUUUCAGGGCACUGCA